rnacentral:piRNA from 1 species
UAAUUGGUCCUAAGUCUUUUGGAAUCAGAG